AGGGAAUCUUCCGCAAUGGACGAAAGUCUGACGGAGCAACGCCGCGUGAGUGAAGAAGGCCUUCGGGUCGUAAAACUCUGUUGCCGGGGAAGAACAAGUGCCGUUCGAACAGGGCGGUGCCUUGACGGUACCCGGCCAGAAAGCCACGGCUAACUACGUGCCAGCAGCCGCGGUAAUACGUAGGUGGCAAGCGUUGUCCGGAAUUAUUGGGCGUAAAGCGCGCGCAGGCGGCUUCUUAAGGCUGAUGUGAAAUCUUGCGGCUCAACCGCAAGCGGUCAUUGGAAACUGGGAGGCUUGAGUGCAGAAGAGGAGAGGGGAAUUCCACGUGUAGCGGUGAAAUGCGUAGAGAUGUGGAGGAACACCAGUGGCGAAGGCGACUCUCUGGGCUGUAACUGACGCUGAGGCGCGAAAGCGUGGGGAGCAAAC
rnacentral:rRNA from 1 species